rnacentral:rRNA from 1 species
CAAAAGCGUAUAUUAAAGUUGUUGCAGUUAAAAAGCUCGUAGUUGAACAUUGGGCUUGGCUGGCCGGUCCAUCUUUUUUGAUGCGUACUGGACCCAGCCGAGCCUUUCCUUCUGGCUAGCCUUUUGGCGAACCAGGACUUUUACUUUGAAAAAAUUAGAGUGUUCAAAGCAGGCCUUUGCUCGAAUAUAUUAGCAUGGAAUAAUAGAAUAGGACGUUAUGGUUCUAUUUUGUUGGUUUCUAGGACCAUCGUAAUGAUUAAUAGGGACGGUCGGGGGUAUCAGUAUUCAGUUGUCAGAGGUGAAAUUCUUGGAUUUACUGAAGACUAACUACUGCGAAAGCAUUUACCAAGGACGUUUUCAUUAA